ensembl:lncRNA
AACAGGUUCACAUGAAGACUGUGUAAUUUGUUGUUUUAUUGUUUUAUUCUCCUGAAAAAUUAUUUGCAGGACCCAAAUGUUUAUCUGGAUGUGAGGGCUUCUUAUAAUGUUGUAAUGGAAUAAUAGUGAUCUGACACAUUACACAAACCAUGUGACCCUGUAUGAACCUCACCUGCUGAGCUGAUGGUUGUGUAGUGGUCAGUUGCAGACCUUCAUGGCCCUGUGCAGUGUGGGGGUGAUGUGGUGAUGUGUUGGUCUCUUCCUACAAGAUGAGUGGCAGAAUGUGAGCAGUUAAGGCUGUUCCAUACCCCACAAGAACAAAAAACAUUCUUCUGACAUCAUUUUGUUCUCGGAGCGCUUGUUCGGCAGCUCUUGUUCUCGAGGCAUCGUCCAUACAAGAACGUUCUUGUUCGCACCAGCUUGUGAGCAAGAAGAAGGUUCUUUGUUCUCGUGGAGUAUGGAAGAAGCUUUAGGCUGGCUGUGGUGGAUGUUCAUCCCUCUGAAGGUCCUCCUCUGCUCUGCUCCUCAGGCUCGGCUUGAAAUGGUGGAGAAGCGCUCGGUGGCCGCUCUGGCUCACAUGACGAGGCUACAGCAGCAGAGUCGACCAGCUUCUGCUGAUGGAGCGGACCUCCUCAGGAUCCAUCCAAAGAAAGAACCAACAACACAAAGUAAGAGUAAAACCAGAAGCAGGGAAUGUUUGAACUUACUGGCACACGGGUUAACUCUGUUCCUUUUUAUUUGUGAAGCAGAGGAAGGUGGAGAGCUCUUUGAAAUGAUGGUAAAUAUGUUCAGCAGUUAUUCUUUCUGUGUUUCUCUGGGUGAGUUAAACAUUUAUGUUGCCUCACAUGGAUCUUUC